UACGGGGGGGGCAAGCGUUGUUCGGAAUUACUGGGCGUAAAGGGCUCGUAGGCGGCCAACUAAGUCAGACGUGAAAUCCCUCGGCUUAACCGGGGAACUGCGUCUGAUACUGGAUGGCUUGAAUCCGGGAGAGGGAUGCGGAAUUCCAGGUGUAGCGGUGAAAUGCGUAGAUAUCUGGAGGAACACCGGUGGCGAAGGCGGCAUCCUGGACCGACAUUGACGCUGAUGAGCGAAAGCUAGGGGAGCAAACAGG
rnacentral:rRNA from 1 species